rnacentral:rRNA from 1 species
GUGACCUCAAAUCAGGUAGGACUACCCGCUGAACUUAAGCAUAUCAAUAAGCGGAGGAAAAGAAACUAACAAGGAUUCCCCUAGUAACUGCGAGUGAAGCGGGAAAAGCUCAAAUUUAAAAUCUGGCAGUCUUUGGCUGUCCGAGUUGUAAUCUAGAGAAGUGUUAUCCGCGCUGGACCGUGUACAAGUCUCCUGGAAUGGAGCGUCAUAGAGGGUGAGAAUCCCGUCUUUGACACGGACUACCAGGGCUUUGUGAUGCGCUCUCAAAGAGUCGAGUUGUUUGGGAAUGCAGCUCAAAAUGGGUGGUAAAUUCCAUCUAAAGCUAAAUAUUGGCGAGAGACCGAUAGCGAACAAGUACCGUGAGGGAAAGAUGAAAAGAACUUUGGAAAGAGAGUUAAACAGUACGUGAAAUUGCUGAAAGGGAAACGCUUGAAGUCAGUCGCGUUGUCCAGGGAUCAACCUUGCUUUUGCUUGGUGCACUUUCUGGUUGACGGGUCAGCAUCAAUUUUGACCAUUGGAAAAAGAUUAAGGGAAUGUGACAUCCUUGGAUGUGUUAUAGCCCUUGGUUGCAUACGAUGGUUGGGAUUGAGGAACUCAGCACGCCGCAAGGCCGGGUUU